AAUCAACGCUGGCGGCGUGCCUCAGACAUGCAAGUCGAACGAUUAAAGCUCUCUUCGGAGAGUGUAUAGAGUGGCGCACGGGUGAGUAACACGUAAGUAAUCUACCUUUGAGUGGGGAAUAACGUCCGGAAACGGACGCUAAUACCGCAUAAUGCAGCGGCAUCGCAAGAUGACAGUUGUUAAAGAUUUAUCGCUUGAAGAGGAGCUUGCGGCAGAUUAGCUAGUUGGUAAGGUAAUGGCUUACCAAGGCUACGAUCUGUAACCGGUCUAAGAGGACGGUCGGUCACACUGACACUGAAUAACGGGUCAGACUCCUACGGGAGGCAGCGAGUUGGGAAUCUUGGACGAAUGGGGGAACCCUGAUCCAGCCAUGCCGCGUGAGUGAUGAAGGCC
rnacentral:rRNA from 1 species